rnacentral:rRNA from 1 species
UACGGAGGGAGCUAGCGUUGUUCGGAAUUACUGGGCGUAAAGCGCGCGUAGGCGGCUUUGUAAGUUAGAGGUGAAAGCCCGGGGCUCAACCCCGGAAUUGCCUUUAAGACUGCAUCGCUUGAAUCCGGGAGAGGUGAGUGGAAUUCCGAGUGUAGAAGUGAAAUUCGUAGAUAUUCGGAAGAACACCAGUGGCGAAGGCGGCUCACUGGACCGGCAUUGACGCUGAGGUGCGAAAGCGUGGGGAGCAAACAGG